rnacentral:lncRNA from 1 species
AUGGGCAUACGUACCAAACGCUUCCCAGCUCAGCAUUGUGCAAGCAGCAAGCUCUUCGAGACCGUGGUUCUUCCUGCGCUGGUGGGGUUAAGUGAUAGUGACACAUCUUCGGAGGUCUUGAUACAGCACUGUGGAAAAACAAGUGAAGUGAAGAGGAUAAAUCCUGCCCUCCGCAUGUGUAUGUGUAUCUGGAGUCAUAUCAUGGAAGAGAAGGAGAUUACUUCUGGUAAACAGAAGGUGCACAGCAGAAGCCUGGUUCCCACAACUGAGAGGAAGCAGUUUCUCCGUGUUCAUUCUCCUGGGCAGUAA